GAUGAACGCUGGCGGCGUGCUUAACACAUGCAAGUCGAACGGAGCACUUUAUUUGAUUUCCUUCGGGACUGAUUAUUUUGUGACUGAGUGGCGGACGGGUGAGUAACGCGUGGGUAACCUGCCUUGUACAGGGGGAUAACAGUUGGAAACGGCUGCUAAUACCGCAUAAGCGCACAGCAUCGCAUGAUGCAGUGUGAAAAACUCCGGUGGUAUAAGAUGGACCCGCGUUGGAUUAGCUAGUUGGUGAGGUAACGGCCCACCAAGGCGACGAUCCAUAGCCGACCGGAGAGGGUGACCGGCCACAUUGGGACUGAGACCCGGCCCACAAUCCUACGGGAGGCAGCAGUGGGGAAUAUUGCACAAUGGGCGAAAGCCUGAUGCAGCGACGCCGCGUGAGCGAAGAAGUAUUUCGGUAUGUAAAGCUCUAUCAGAAGGGAAGAUAAUGACGGUACCUGACUAAGAAGCACCGGCUAAAUACGUG
rnacentral:rRNA from 1 species